GUGCUGAACCAGAAGUUGUUAACAACAGUGUGAUUGACAUUAACAGAGUUAAAUAUUUUAGCUGGCCUUGGAAUAAUUGGAAUGGAUCCGUUCAGAUUAUAAACGUGUCCGUCGUCUUUGGAGUACAGGUUGUGAUAGCGAUAGUGAGAGAGGCAGAUUGGAGUAUAGGUCUCGCUUUUUAUUAUUUAUUUACUUUUUAAUGAAUAUUUAUUUAAUUAAUCUAUGUAUUGAAACUCUGAAUUUCUUGCAGGAAGUGGAUAAAGAACAUUUAACACAGCAGGUCUUUCUUUACCUUUUUAAUCAACAAAGUAAUUGGCUGUUUCACGUCUUGUAGUACUAGUUUUUAUAUACCAUUGAAUGUUAGUUAAGCCAGGCAUUCAGGAAAUAUAAAACAUAAACAAAAGACUUUAGAUAUUGUCAAAUGAGAUGCACAGACACAUUAAGCAGGUAUAAUUCUAGUGUAUAUACAGACAGGAGUUUGCUGGAUCUAUAUUUGAUGAAUUUAAAGUUUUAUGCGCUGAAAUCUAAUGUGGUUUUCUGAUGUCUUACAGGUUCCAAUUAUCAGCAGGACAGCUAAAUUAAAUACAAUUCAAGAUUCUCCAUCCAAAGGCUCUGUAGUUGUGUGUAUGUGGCAGUGUAAACUGUGCUUAGUGGCAGUUGCAGGAAGAUUGGCAUUAUUGAACCACUACAAAUUGAAGCAUCCACACCUUGGGCGUACCAGCCGUUAUCCAUGUACGUUUUUAGAGUGCCCUUGCACAUUUAAAACAUGGAAUGCAUUACAUAUUCAUCACUCUCGGGAUCAUUCCACAAAUUAUAAAGCAGUAAAGGCACUAUCUGUAUUUAAGUGUCACAUUUGCUCGUGUAAGAAUUUGGGGAAUGAAAGAGAGUACUUUGCUCACAUAAAUGCUCAUUUAAAGAAGAAUGAAAAAGUGACUUGCAUGUUUGAUGGUUGUGAUUUUCAUACAAGUGUUUAUGGAACCUUUAGGUCACACAAAAGUCGUAGACACGCAUCUCAUUCUUUGACUGAUUUUAAACCCGGUAUUGUGACAACAAAUGCACCUCUGCCUUUUGAACUUUUACCCACUGAUGGCCAGGAAGAUGAGUGUGUGGAGAGCGACACUGUAGAGUCAGCUAAUCCCGAGGUCCUCUCAAGUGCAAUUGAGAAGCAACUUGCAGCAGCCUUACUCAAGUUGGAGUAUCUUGUUCAUGUGCCAGGUACGGCUGUAGAUGAUUUUUUAUAUGAGCUUAAUUAUUUAAGUUCAGCAUCUGUGCCACUUUCAAAAGCUAUAGUUGCUGAUAUCUUAAAGCGACUUAACUUUCAGGUUGAGGACUCGGUAGUUGCUAAUAUCAUUUCUGCAGUGUAUACAACCAAUCCAAUAUCAAAGGCUAUUGAAAAGGGAGGGCCACUUUCCAGUUCAUAUCAGCGUAAAAAAUACUACAGGGAUUGCUUCAGUGUUGUGGAACCUGUGACUUUUAUCCUUGAUGGUAAAAAGCGCAGAACCUUUCAAUAUGUCCCAAUUUUAAAGUCACUGCAGCAGGUCUUAAGUAGAAAAGGUAUUCUUGACAAACUCAUAGAAAAUCAUAAAGGAACAACAAGCCUUGAAAGAGACCCAUCUUAUGAAUACAGGUCAUUUAAAGACGGUAAUCAUUUUCAACAAAACAAGUUUUUGAAUAAUGAUGAGUUAAGAAUAUCAGUAUGUCUGUAUGUUGAUGAUUUUGAAACUUGUAAUCCCCUAGGCACCUCUAGAAAAAAGCACAAGCUUUGUGCUGUUUAUUGGUUGCUCUCGAACCUACCUCCAGGCUGUCAUUCCUCUUUAUCCUCCAUUUAUCUUGCUGUGCUUUGUAAGAGUGAUGAUGUCAAAAACUACAGUUUUGAUAAUGUUUUGGAACCUCUCUUAACAGACCUAAAAACCUUGGAGGACCAUGGUGUGUAUGUUCCGCUGUUAGGUACGUCUUUAAAAGAUUGAAACCUGUGGUCAUGGCGGCUCUUUUGAAAGUCAUCCUUGGAGACAACAACAGUCAACGCUUGACUUUCCCAGAUGGACUUCCAACAUCUGUCAGUGAACUUGUUGAUAUUGUGCAGAGACAGUGUGCUAUUCAGACAAACUUCAGGCUUCAGUUCAUGGAUCCCCUAUUUAACAAUGAGUUCAUGAACCUCACUUCAAUGGAUGAAGUGACAGAUCGUGGAACAAUCAGAGUAAUCUAUAUGACAGGCAUCUUAACCCCGCAGCGCGUAGAGGUCCAGAUUUCUUCAGGAAGUGCUUGUAACUAUAGUUUUCUGGAAGAAAGCUCAUCAGUGUCUAGUGGUGGUGUAGAUACUGACAUUCUGUCUUCACCGGAAUCAGACGCAUCCACCUCUUCAACCUCCAGGACAUUUUGGCCUAGCACUUUCAGUGUUCCACAGUUUGGCUUUGAUGCAGAGUUAAAACUUGAAAGAGGCAAUGCAGCAUUCAAAGAGAAUGGCGUAGUGCUUAUCCCAGAUCUUAAACUCAAGUCAAACAUUUUAGAGGGUCUGAUUCAAGAAAUUGUCAAAUACAAAGUUUAUGUCACAGACAGAGAGUUUGACAUGGUUGGUGAGGCACUCCUCUCCAAACACCCUUGUCUAACAGAGAGGGGCUCAGUGACAGGAUAUGCUGGUUGGAAGGCAAGCUUAAAGAAUAAACUUGCGAUUUACCGUACCCAUUUGAGAAAACUGGGAUGUCCUGAGGUUUUGGUGAACUCUGUUAAGCACAAGCCUGAGGGUAAAUCAAGUGCUGCCUCUGCCAUCAAAAGACCAAGACGUUCUGAAGUGAACUACUGCCCCCCUUAUCCCACUGGAGAAUCAGAUCAGAGUCUGGAGGGUCUGAGAGUGGAACUCCUAUCAGAUGUGAAGAAGCGGAACAACAGGGAGGCAGUGAGAAGGAAAAUGGACCAGACCUUCGCACACAGGAGGUAUGAAGUGGUUCGAGACAAACCAAUGGUUGAAGAUUUCAAGAACAGAUGGCCAGCCCUCUUCGAUGUAACUGAGAUAAAUUUAGAGUUCAAACGCAUCACCACCAUACCGCUACAGUCAAGGUUUUUAUCUCGGAUAGACGUGCUGUCCGGCAAACUCCUCAGACUGUUUGAGCGAAGAGGUGGACAGAUGGGGAGAGUGCUCAAAGAUAUUGUGGCACCCAUGGCUCAGGAUGACGAUGUUGACCUCGGUCGAGGUUGUAUCAUCAAAGGACUGUGUGUGUACCUCAAUGAGGAACCAGGAAACUUAGUCAAAGAAUAUGUGACGAAACCAAUGAAAGAUCCAUCGAGGAGACCACUGUUGGCAUUUACGUCCUGAAAGCAGACUGCAACUCAAACCCAGAUGACAUCGGCAUAGUGAUUGAAGGACAGGUGGUCUUGCAGGAACUGGACAACUUUCCGUUAGCUGUUGCCAUGUUGUUUGGCUUGAUUUACACACUGAACCUCGACUACCCUCGUGACCUCAAAUAUACAUUUGAGGUGCUCCAAAAAAUCAUCAUGGAGCUGGAGGGCACCACUCUUUCCAAAAAAGCGCAAGUGCUCAAGAACAGACUCUGUGAAUGAGUAUUUUAUCUGUCAAUGCAGAUUUUCUAAGUGUUUACAGAGAAAAGGUUAGGUGUUCCUCAGUUUUUGAAAUUUUACAGUUACUAUAUAUUUUUGAUAUGAAAAUAGUAUAUUUUUUCAUUCUUGCAGCUAAAGAGUCUUUUUUUUUUUUUUUACUACUGGAGCUUGUUCGUAAUGUUUUGUGUAAAGCCGAAGGACACCAUGCUCUGCAAGAUGGCUCAAGAAUUUAAGAACCGUACUGUUGAUGAUUUCAAAGUGUUCAGAAGAAACUUUAUACACUGGUUUUCCUCAGUGUUGGAUAUGCUUUAAAUAUGUCGUGCUGUGAUAUGUGUUUGCACAGUACUGUAUAUUUUUGAUGUUCAGUGCCUAAAAAUGUGUCUGCACAGUACUCCAUUUUUUGAUGUGCAAUUUUUAGUGCUUCAAGACUUGUUUGCACGGUAUUGCAUAUUUGUGAUUCACAUUUUUAUUGUUUAUUUUUAUGUAAAGACCUGUUUUCAAAGUAUUGCAAUUUUUGGAUGUGCAGUUUUUUUGAAGGUUCAUGAAAAAUGUUCUAAACUACAGCUGCUUUGUAAUGCUUUAGUGUUGAACAUCAGCAUGUCAAAGCAUUUUUGACAGUUUUGAAUUCUGUAAUUCAUCUUUGAAUUAAAAGUGGCUCAAGAUA